GUGGGCGGAUGUGGUCACUGACCAGUGCACUGGACUGUGGGUCACUGAGCUUUUCACCCUGCCACGCUAUUACCAGUGUGAUCCAGUCUGUCACCCUCGCCUCCCUGGGGGCUCUGCAGUUCACAGAACAUGGUUUGGAAAUGAACUGUUCUUAGCCAGAGCCCUAAAAUAGGAGCUGAAAUGGCCCACAGAGACCAUCUGGUCUUGUUCCCUUCACUACCACGCAGAGACGCCAGCUUCUGUGCUGGCGAAUCCUUCCACACACUGAUGCGCUCCAAGAGCUUGGAGGAAAUGAUGGUACUAAGAAGAAAGCAGAGGCUGACAAUGGGAUCAAAAAUAUCUCCCAGCGGUGUGUCACUUUCACUAGAGUGACCAAGGAAGCCCUCUUUCCAGGAAAAAGGUGGCUCCUGGGCUUCAUGCUUGGCAGAGUCACCCUGAGUCUCUUCACCUCCUAUCCCUACUAGGUGUGUCCUCAGAGUCUGUUUUGAGUCCAAGUCCAGAACCCAAAGCAUGCAUCCUUUCCAUGUCUGCCAACCAGCCAGAUGGGGAGCACCUGCCGAGUCAGCAGGUUAGUGCAGGCCCUUCCUGGGGUGGGAGUUGGGGGACAAGCUCCCUCCACCAGCCUAGGUUGCCUUGUUCAAGUAAAAUAUUGAUUCCCACCCACUGCAAGGCAUUUGAUUCUUGGGAGUUUGUGAGAGAUUCUACAGUUUGCCCAGCUCUGUUGUGGAAUUCUUCUUGCAAAGGCAAUGGAACAGAGGGAGUGGGGGGAGGAGGGCAACCCUGAAUGAACUGAUGUUUGGAAGACUGAGAUAUCAAGUUGAGAAUGUUCCCAGGGAAAAACCCGGCCUCUUCCAGCACUCUGCCCAGCUCAGCAAAGACUGCCUUGUCAUCUGGCUGGCAAGGUUUCUGUAUUUCUUUCCUAUUACAGACCAGAAAUAAAUACAAGGACUAUCACUGUGAGUUGGUGUUAUCUCCUCCCCUUCUGCCUCCCCCCUCCCCACCCCCCAAUGACCUAUCCUUAAGUGAAAAGAGCAAGAAAACCUAUUCCUAUCUUUUGGCUCCUGAAUCCACUUCUGGUGAUUUGUCCUAAAUAAAUAUGUCCAAAGAUUGUUUUAAAACUUGGUUUAAAAGAAAAAUUGAUGGCGCUGGGAAUGUAACUUAGUGGUAGAGUGCUUGCCUAGCAUGCAUGAAGCCCUGGGUUCAA